AUUGAACGCUGGCGGCAGGCCUAACACAUGCAAGUCGAACGCGUGGCGGACGGGGGAGUAAUGCUUGGGAAUCCAGCUUAUGGAGGGGGAUAACUACGGGAAACUGUCGCUUACACCGCGUACCAUGGGAUGCGCCCAUGUGGGUUUAGGUAGUUGGUGGGGUAAAGGCGCACCAAGCCGACGGCCUCUAGCUUGUCUGAGAGGAUGACCAGCCCCACCGGGACGGAGACACGGCCCAGACUCCUCCGGGAGGCAACAGUGGGGAAUAUUGCGCAAUGGGGGCAACCUGACGGAGCCAAGCCGCGUGAAGGAAGAAGGCCUUCGGGUUGUAAAGUUCUUUCGGUAGCGAAGCGUUAACUACAAAAGGAACACCGGCUAACUCCGUGCCAGCAGCCGCGGUAAUAC
rnacentral:rRNA from 1 species